rnacentral:misc_RNA from 1 species
GAUGAAGAACGUAGUGAAAUGCGAUAAGUAAUGUGAAUUGCAGAAUUCAGUGAAUCAUCGAAUCUUUGAACGCACAUUGCGCCCAUUAGUAUUCUAGUGGGCAUGCCUGUUCUAGCGUCAUUAAGUCCACUUAAGCCCUGCUUAGUGUUGGGAGACUGCUCCAGCGGUGCUACCCUGUAGCUACCCUGCAGCUCCUCAAAGACAGCGGCGGAGUUGUGGUAUCCUCUGAGCUUAGUAACUUGUUCUAGCUUUCGAGUACACCACUUCCCCUGCCGUAAAACCCUUAAUUUUUAAUGGUUGACCUCGGAUCAGGUAGGAAUACCCGCUGAACUUAAGCAUAUCAAUAAGCGGAGGA